GCUCAUGCAUGGGGUGCAGUAGUGCAUGCCUGUAGUCUCAGCUACUUGGGAGGCUGAGGAAGAAGGAUUGCUUGAGUCCAAGAGUUCUGGACUAUAUUGCACUAUGCUGAUCAGGUGUCCGCACUAAGUUCGGCAUCAGUAUGGUGACCUCCCAGGAGUGCGGGACCACCAGGUUGUCUAACGACGGGUGAACUGGCCCAGGUCAGAAGCGAAGCAAGCCAAAACUACCAUGCUGAUCAGUAGUGGAAUCAUGCCUGUAAAUAGCCACUGCACUCCAGCCUGGGCAAACAUAGCGAGACCCCGUCUCU
ensembl:misc_RNA RN7SL712P RNA, 7SL, cytoplasmic 712, pseudogene